rnacentral:rRNA from 1 species
CUACGGGUGGCUGCAGUGAGGAAUAUUGCACAAUGGGGGGAACCCUGAUGCAGCAACGCCGCGUGGAGGAUGACGCAUUUCGGUGUGUAAACUCCUUUUAUAUGUCAAGAAAAUGACGGUAGCAUAUGAAUAAGCACCGGCUAACUCCGUGCCAGCAGCCGCGGUAAUACGGAGGGUGCAAGCGUUACUCGGAAUCACUGGGCGUAAAGGAAGCGUAGGCGGGUUGGAAAGUCAGGUGUGAAAUCCUACAGCUUAACUGUAGAACUGCACUUGAAACUUCUAAUCUAGAGUAUGGGAGGGGAGAUGGAAUUAGUGGUGUAGGGGUAAAAUCCGUAGAUAUCACUAGGAAUACCUAAAGCGAAGGCGAUCUCCUGGAACAUUACUGACGCUAAGGCGUGAAAGCGUGGGGAGCAAGCAGGAUUAGAUACCCGCGUAGUC